GGGGAGAGGAAAAAGGCAAAGAGAGGAAGUGACGCAAAGGAGGGUGGAAUCAGCUGCUGUCAGUCUGAGGAGGGGGAGGAGGGGUGUCUCUUCCAACCCGUCUGGUCUACUCAAUUGAAUAUACACCCCCUCCUCCAAGUUUCCCUCCCUAAAAUCAGAGGGUUCCCCAUAAUUUCCCGAGAACAACACUAUGGUCUCAGUCGCUAUCCCCACCCUUCCGCAGACCCUAACCCUACGCUACAUCUCCCGGAUUCGCUCCCUCUCCCUUCUCCCCGCCCCCUCCGCUGCAGACAGGCUAGGAGGCUGCUCCCAGACGCCAACUCUGCAGCUCUUGCACAAUGUACAUUGUACAGGUGUUAAAAAUGGGAAAGGUCCCAGCUACACCCCAAGCACGUUCCCCUCUGUUCUCCCCUCGCCCCUUCCCCCACUGCAUCUCUCCAGGCACCGUCCCUGUCUCCAUGACAACAGUCUUCUAUUUCCACCCCCCCCCCCCGCCAUUCCCAUCACCAUUCUACUAGUCAAGUCAAUGUCCCUCUUUCUCCUCCCCAAUACGCCCAGGACUCUCCACCCUCUGGCACCUGUCUUUCCUCCCCCCUCCCUCCACGCGAACCCACCCACUAAUCUAGUGAUUUGAGACUCGAGGCAAUUGUCCAAAUACGCCGUAUCUGGUAAUUGAAACAAAAGUGGAGGACUUGAAUUAUCCGCAUAAUUGCCCCUCAAUCUUCUCUUUGCUACUAAAGACCUACAGUGGCGAUGUCAACUUGUCCUUUCUCUUCAGAGCCCCUUUCAUUCGCAUCCACCUGCCCCCUGCUCCUUAAUACAAACCUGGUAUCAGCUCCCCAGGAUCCCUCUCCACCCCGCCCUCAUUCCCAGCCAGACCGCCCCCACUAUUCUCCGAUUCCCACUGCAGCGGAUUAAUUUGCGGGGACCAGAGGGGGAUCGAGCUCAGUACAUGUGGCCGAGGAGUUAGUCCGGCUGGACGGAGGCUCCCGAAUGCACAGAGUUGGCGCCUUGCGCCGAGACUGCGCCAUAUCUCCAGUUGGCACAAGCCGAGGCCCGCUCGCUCGAAGCCCGAGGACUGCAGUCUUCAGCGAAGUCGCCGCCGAACCCGCAGCCGUUUGGCCCGAGGCAGCGCGUUUCCAGUCGGGAUCUAUUCUGUCCGUUCGGCGCGGAUAAAGGGCAGGACCGGGGCGGGGGGUGGGGCUGGGAGGAAAAAGUAAAGAAUUGGCAGCGGACUAAGCUCAAAGAUACUCUGAGGCAAGGGGAAGGAGGAAAGGAGGCGCUGUCAGAAGAGAUCUCUCCCACUUUCUCUCUUGGUAAUCUUAUUUGAAGAUACAACUCCCACUUUUUAGGAUGCAAGACUUAGCUACAACUGCCGAACUGGAAAGUGUUUACUUCCCCAUAAAUGGGGCGGGAGAGGGGAAGCAAAACAAAUAAAAACCUCGACGCAACUGACUUGGAGAUGGGACAGGAAACCCUGUGCGGAAAACUCGCCUCCUGUCCAAAGAAGUGUCUUGACGACUGUAUGGAUGGGAAUAUGAGGGGGAGGGCGGGAGGAGGUAAUGCAGAACUGCUCUUCCUCUACACAUUCUCCUUCCCCCACUCUCCACUGCCUUUAGACAAGAAGAAUGUGGGUGCCUCGUCUAACCUCCAGGGCAUUAAGACUUUGGCGCUAGGUGUUGAGACCCUGUCUCUUGAAAUCUCUCUCCUAACGAAAUAUCUGCAGAUUGCGUAAAAAUCUCCUUUAGGAGCCAAACAAGUUGCUUGAGAAAGGCCAAUAGACAGCAAAGUUCAUAAUCAUAAAAAGUCAUUCACGGUUACAAAUAGUUUCGACGGACGGUGCCAGCGAUACAGCUGUUUCUGUUUAAGCUUAAAUACUUUCCAACAGUUUGGGCAGUAAAAAUAAAGUAGACCUCAA